AUUGAACGCUGGCGGCAUGCCUUACACAUGCAAGUCGAACGGCAGCAUGGAGAGCUUGCUCUCUGAUGGCGAGUGCGAACGGGUGAGUAAUGCAUCGGAACGUACCGUGUAAUGGGGGAUAACGUAGCGAAAGUUACGCUAAUACCGCAUACGACCUGAGGGUGAAAGCAGGGGAUCGCAAGACCUUGCGUUAUACGAGCGGCCGAUGUCAGAUUAGCUAGUUGGUGAGGUAAAGGCUCACCAAGGCGACGAUCUGUAGCGGGUCUGAGAGGAGGAUCCGCCACACUGGGACUGAGACACGGCCCAGACUCCUACGGGAAGCAGCAGUGGGGAAUUUUGGACAAUGGGGGCAACCCUGAUCCAGCCAUGCCGCGUGAGUGAAGAAGGCCUUCGGGUUGUAAAGCUCUUUCGGCCGGGAAGAAAUCGCACAGGCUAAUACUCUGUGUGGAUGACGGUACCGGCAUAAGAAGCACCGGCUAACUACGUGCCAGCCGCCGCGGUAA
rnacentral:rRNA from 1 species